UACGAGGGGGCGAGCGUUGUUCGGAAUUAUUGGGCGUAAAGGGUGCGUAGGCGGUUUGAUAAGUCUUGUGUGAAAUCUCUGGGCUCAACCCAGAGUCGUGCAUAGGAAACUGUCGGGCUUGAGUAUGGGAGAGGUGAGUGGAAUUUCCGGUGUAGCGGUGAAAUGCGUAGAUAUCGGAAGGAACACCUGUGGCGAAAGCGGCUCAC
rnacentral:rRNA from 1 species